rnacentral:rRNA from 1 species
AAUCAAGGCUGAGGCGUGAUGACGAGGCACUACGGUGCUGAAGCAACAAAUGCCCUGCUUCCAGGAAAAGCCUCUAAGCAUCAGGUAACAUCAAAUCGUACCCCAAACCGACACAGGUGGUCAGGUAGAGAAUACCAAGGCGCUUGAGAGAACUCGGGUGAAGGAACUAGGCAAAAUGGUGCCGUAACUUCGGGAGAAGGCACGCUGAUAUGUAGGUGAAGUCCCUUGCGGAUGGAGCUGAAAUCAGUCGAAGAUACCAGCUGGCUGCAACUGUUUAUUAAAAACACAGCACUGUGCAAACACGAAAGUGGACGUAUACGGUGUGACGCCUGCCCGGUGCCGGAAGGUUAAUUGAUGGGGUCAGCGCAAGCGAAGCUCUUGAUCGAAGCCCCGGUAAACGGCGGCCGUAACUAUAACGGUCCUAAGGUAGCGAAAUUCCUUGUCGGGUAAGUUCCGACCUGCACGAAUGGCGUAAUGAUGGCCAGGCUGUCUCCACCCGAGACUCAGUGAAAUUGAACUCGCUGUGAAGAUGCAGUGUACCCGCGGCAAGACGGAAAGACCCCGUGAACCUUUACUAUAGCUUGACACUGAACAUUGAGCCUUGAUGUGUAGGAUAGGUGGGAGGCUUUGAAGUGUGGACGCCAGUCUGCAUGGAGCCGGCCUUGAAAUACCACCCUUUAAUGUUUGAUGUUCUAACGUGGACCCGUGAUCCGGGUUGCGGACAGUGUCUGGUGGGUAGUUUGACUGGGGCGGUCUCCUCCUAAAGAGUAACGGAGGAGCACGAAGGUUGGCUAAUCCUGGUCGGACAUCAGGAGGUUAGUGCAAUGGCAUAAGCCAGCUUGACUGCGAGCGUGACGGCGCGAGCAGGUGCGAAAGCAGGUCAUAGUGAUCCGGUGGUUCUGAAUGGAAGGGCCAUCGCUCAACGGAUAAAAGGUACUCCGGGGAUAACAGGCUGAUACCGCCCAAGAGUUCAUAUCGACGGCGGUGUUUGGCACCUCGAUGUCGGCUCAUCACAUCCUGGGGCUGAAGUAGGUCCCAAGGGUAUGGCUGUUCGCCAUUUAAAGUGGUACGCGAGCUGGGUUUAGAACGUCGUGAGACAGUUCGGUCCCUAUCUGCCGUGGGCGCUGGAGAACUGAGGGGGGCUGCUCCUAGUACGAGAGGACCGGAGUGGACGCAUCACUGGUGUUCGGGUUGUCAUGCCAAUGGCACUGCCCGGUAGCUAAAUGCGGAAGAGAUAAGUGCUGAAAGCAUCUAAGCACGAAACUUGCCCCGAGAUGAGUUCUCCCUGACCCUUUAAGGGUCCUGAAGGAACGUUGAAGACGACGACGUUGAUAGGCCGGGUGUGUAAGCGCAGCGAUGCGUUGAGCUAACCGGUACUAAUGAACCGUGAGGCUUAACCUUACAACGCCGAAG